AACCCAUAGUGAGGGCACCUUUUCAACAUAUCCUUGUAUCUCUCCAAUGCAUCGUAGAGUGUUUCUAGAUCCAUCUGCACAAAAGAAGAGAGAUCAUUCCUUAAUUU
rnacentral:snoRNA from 1 species